AUACCAUGGUGUAGGCACUUCCUCAAUAACUCCUUGAAUCUCUCCCAAUCAUCACACACUAAUUAAUCCUCCAACUGUUGAAAAGAAAUAAUCUCAUUCCGAAACUU